rnacentral:rRNA from 1 species
AUUGAACGCUGGCGGCAGGCUUAACACAUGCAAGUCGAGCGGAGACUUCGGUCUUAGCGGCGAACGGGUGAGUAAUACCUAGGAAUCUGCCCAUUAGCGGGGGACAACGUUUCGAAAGGAACGCUAAUACCGCAUACGCCCUACCGGGGAAAGGACAGGGGAGUCUUUUGUACCUUGCACUAAUGGAUGAGCCUAGGCCGGAUUAGCUAGUUGGUAGGGUAAAGGCCUACUAAGGCGACGAUCUGUAGCUGGUCUGAGAGGAUGACCAGCCACACUGGAACUGAGACACGGUCCAGACUCCUACGGGAGGCAGCAGUGGGGAAUAUUGGACAAUGGGCGCAAGCCUGAUCCAGCCAUGCCGCGUGUGUGAAGAAGGCCUUCGG